rnacentral:rRNA from 1 species
UGGGGAAUAUUGCACAAUGGGCGCAAGCCUGAUGCAGCCAUGCCGCGUGUAUGAAGAAGGCCUUCGGGUUGUAAAGUACUUUCAGCGAGGAGGAAGGCGUUGUGGUUAAUAACCGCAGCGAUUGACGUUACUAGCAGAAGAAGCACCGGCUAACUCCGUGCCAGCAGCCGCGGUAAUACGGAGGGUGCAAGCGUUAAUCGGAAUUACUGGGCGUAAAGCGCACGCAGGCGGUCUGUCAAGUCGGAUGUGAAAUCCCCGGGCUCAACCUGGGAACUGCAUCCGAAACUGGCAGGCUAGAGUCUUGUAGAGGGGGGUAGAAUUCCAGGUGUAGCGGUGAAAUGCGUAGAGAUCUGGAGGAAUACCGGUGGCGAAGGCGGCCCCCUGGACAAAGACUGACGCUCAGGUGCGAAAGCGUGGGGAGCAAACA